rnacentral:rRNA from 1 species
UACGGAGGGGGCUAGCGUUGUUCGGAAUUACUGGGCGUAAAGCGCACGUAGGCGGCUUUGUAAGUUAGAGGUGAAAGCCCGGGGCUCAACUCCGGAAUUGCCUUUAAGACUGCAUCGCUAGAAUUGUGGAGAGGUAAGUGGAAUUCCGAGUGUAGAGGUGAAAUUCGUAGAUAUUAGGAAGAACACCAGUGGCGAAGGCGGCUCACUGGUCCGGUACUGACGCUGAGGUGCGAAAAGCGUGGGGAGCAAACAGG